rnacentral:rRNA from 1 species
AAUAGAUACCCGGGUAGUCCACGCCGUAAACGAUGUCGACUUGGAGGUUGUUCCCUUGAGGAGUGGCUUCCGGAGCUAACGCGUUAAGUCGACCGCCUGGGGAGUACGGCCGCAAGGUUAAAACUCAAAUGAAUUGACGGGGGCCCGCACAAGCGGUAGAGCAUGUGGUUUAAUUCGAUGCAACGCGAAGAACCUUACCUACUCUUGACAUCCACGGAACUUUUCAGAGAUGAAUUGGUGCCUUCGGGAACCGUGAGACAGGUGCUGCAUGGCUGUCGUCAGCUCGUGUUGUGAAAUGUUGGGUUAAGUCCCGCAACGAGCGCAACCCUUAUCCUUUGUUGCCAGCGAUUAGGCCGGGAACUCAAAGGAGACUGCCAGUGAUAAACUGGAGGAAGGUGGGGAUGACGUCAAGUCAUCAUGGCCCUUACGAGUAGGGCUACACACGUGCUACAAUGGCGCAUACAAAAGAGAAGCGACCUCGCGAAGAGCAAGCGGACCUCAUAAAGUGCGUCGUAGUCCGGAUUGGAUCUGC